rnacentral:rRNA from 1 species
ACUCAAAUGAAUUGACGGGGACCCGCACAAGCAGUGGAGCAUGUGGUUUAAUUCGAUGCAACGCGAAGAACCUUACCUGGACUUGACAUGCAUUUGACCACUACAGAGAUGUAGUUUUUUCGCAAGAAACAGAUGCACAGGUGCUGCAUGGCUGUCGUCAGCUCGUGCCGUGAGGUGUUGGGUUAAGUCCCGCAACGAGCGCAACCCUUGUCGUUAGUUGCCAACACGUAAUGGUGGGCACUCUAGCGAGACUGCCUAGGUUAACUAGGAGGAAGGUGAGGAUGACGUCAAGUCCGCAUGGCCUUUAUGUCCAGGGCUACACACGUGCUACAAUGGUCGGUACAGAAGGCAGCGAAACCGUGAGGUGGAGCAAAUCCUCAAAGCCGGCCCCAGUUCAGAUUGGAGUCUGCAACUCGACUCCAUGAAGAUGGAAUUGCUAGUAAUGGCGGGUCAGCAACACCGCCGUGAAUACGUUCCCGGGUCUUGUACACACCGCCCGU